UAUUGUCAAGGAGAUCAAGGUGAGCUUGAAAAUAAAGAACUUGAAGAAAUGUGUCAUUUCCAAGUAUAUGGAUCAACGAAAGUCGAAAUUCCUCGAAAGUCGAUGGAUUACCAGACAGCAGAUAUGUCUUAUGACCUACAUGGAUGUGGUAAAGAACUCGAGUCUCCUCCGUGUUCUCCAUCUUAUAUCGUUGCAGGUAUGUCCGGGGCCGAAAUGAUCAUCGAAGACGAGGAAGACUGACUAGAAGGUAUUGGUAUGAACUUGCAGCAACAACAACCUGAUAGAAGGAGGAAUUUAACAUCAUCUACUGAAAUGACCAAUUCUCCUACGUUUAUCCAAUUGUAGAACAAAUGGAUGGAUUUGGAUUCUGCUUGGAAUUAUAACUCACAAUAGAUAUAGAUAAAAACCACCUAACUUAGUAAAUGUGAGCUUUAUUGCUUAUAUUUCACAUA